rnacentral:rRNA from 1 species
UACAGAGGGGGCAAGCGUUGCUCGGAAUUACUGGGCGUAAAGCGUGCGCAGGCGGUUUUGUAAGCCAGAUGUGAAAUCCCCGGGCUUAACCUGGGAAUGGCAUUUGGGACUGCAAGGCUUGAGUUUGGCAGAGGAGACUGGAAUUCCUGGUGUAGCAGUGAAAUGCGUAGAUAUCAGGAGGAAUACCGAUGGCGAAGGCAGGUCUCUGGGCUGAAACUGACGCUCAUGCACGAAAGCGUGGGGAGCAAACAGG